CCGAGUUUACAACUCCCAAACCCCUGUGAACAUACCUAUAUGUUGCCUCGGCGGAUCAGCCCGCGCCCCGUAAAACGGGACGGCCCGCCGCAGGAUCCACAAACUCUGUUUUAUUGUAACUUCUGAGUAACAAAACAAAUAAAUCA
rnacentral:misc_RNA from 1 species